UACGGGGGGGCAAGCGUUGUUCGGAAUUACUGGGCGUAAAGGGCUCGUAGGCGGCCAACUAAGUCAGACGUGAAAUCCCUCGGCUUAACCGGGGAACUGCGUCUGAUACUGGAUGGCUUGAGAUUGGGAGAGGGAUGCGGAAUUCCAGGUGUAGCGGUGAAAUGCGUAGAUAUCAGGAGGAACACCGGUGGCGAAGGCGGGUCUCUGGGCCGUAACUGACGCUGAGGAGCGAAAGCGUGGGGAGCGAACAGG
rnacentral:rRNA from 1 species